UACAGAGGGUGCAAACGUUGUUCGGAUUUACUGGGCGUAAAGCGCGUGUAGGCGGCUUGGCAAGUUGGAUGUGAAAGCCCACGGCUCAACCGUGGAAGCGCAUCCAAAACUGCCUCGCUCGAGUCUCGGAGAGGAAGGUGGAAUGCUUGGUGUAGAGGUGAAAUUCGUAGAUAUCAAGCAGAACACCUGCGGCGAAGGCGGCCUUCUGGACGAUGACUGACGCUGAGACGCGAAAGCGUGGGGAGCAAACAGG
rnacentral:rRNA from 1 species